AUUGAACGCUGGCGGUAUGCCUAACACAUGCAAGUCGAACGAGGUAGCAAUACCUAGUGGCGGACGGGUGAGGAAUACGUAGGGAUCUGCUCUUAAGUGGGGGAUAACCCGGGGGAAACCCGGAUUAAUACCGCAUGAUCUCGCAAGAGCGAAGAGGGGGACCGCAAGGCCUCUCGCUUUUGGAGGAACCUACGUCGGAUUAGCUAGUUGGUGAGGUAAUGGCUCACCAAGGCGACGAUCCGUAACUGGUCUGAGAGGAUGAUCAGUCACACCGGAACUGAGACACGGUCCGGACUCCUACGGGAGGCAGCAGUGGGAAUAUUGGACAAUGGGCGAAAGCCUGAUCCAGCAAUACCGCGUGUGUGAAGAAGGCCU
rnacentral:rRNA from 1 species